ACACGUGGGCAACCUGCCUGUAAGUUGGGGAUAACUCCGGGAAACCGGGGCUAAUACCGAAUGAUAAAGUGUGGCGCAUGCCACGCUUUUGAAAGAUGGUUUCGGCUAUCGCUUACAGAUGGGCCCGCGGUGCAUUAGCUAGUUGGUAGGGUAAUGGCCUAUCAAGGCAACGAUGCAUAGCCGACCUGAGAGGGUGAUCGGCCACACUGGGACUGAGACACGGCCCAGACUCCUACGGGAGGCAGCAGUAGGGAAUCUUCCGCAAUGGACGAAAGUCUGACGGAGCAACGCCGCGUGUAUGAAGAAGGUUUUCGGAUCGUAAAGUACUGUUGUUAGAGAAGAACAAGGAUAAGAGUAACUGCUUGUCCCUUGACGGUAUCUAACCAGAAAGCCACGGCUAACUACGUGCCAGCAGCCGCGGUAAUACGUAGGUGGCAAGCGUUGUCCGGAUUUAUUGGGCGUAAAGCGCGCGCAGGCGGUCUUUUAAGUCUGAUGUGAAAGCCCCCGGCUUAACCGGGGAGGGUCAUUGGAAACUGGAAGACUGGAGUGCAGAAGAGGAGAGUGGAAUUCCACGUGUAGCGGUGAAAUGCGUAGAUAUGUGGAGGAACACCAGUG
rnacentral:rRNA from 1 species